GAGUCGGCCGGGUGAUCGCGGUCCUGUUUCUGUCGUCAUCGUAUGUGUUGGCCAACGGUGCAGGAUCGAGGAAAGUCCGGGCUCCAUAGGGCAGGGUGCCAGAUAACGUCUGGGCGGCGCGAGUCGACGGAAAGUGCCACAGAAAAUAUACCGCCAGCCGACACCUUCGGGUGUCGGGUCGGUAAGGGUGAAAAGGUGCGGUAAGAGCGCACCGCGUUGGUGGUAACACGAACGGCAGGGCAAACCCCACCCGGAGCAAGACCAAAUAGGAAUCCGAUGGUGUGGCCCGCACCGGAUUCGGGUAGGUCGCUCGAGGUGCGCGGUGACGUGCACCCAAGAGGAAUGAUCACCCUCGACAGAACCCGGCUUACAGGCUGACUCC
rnacentral:RNase_P_RNA from 1 species